rnacentral:ncRNA from 1 species
AUUAGAUCAAAGCCAAUCGGUGGCGCGCGGUCCGCCGUUCGUCCGCCGUUUAUUUUGGUGACUCUAAAUAACUUUGUGCUGAUCGCAUGGUCUCUGCACCGGCGACGCAUCUUUCAAAUGUCUACUUUAUCAACUGUCGGUGGUAGGUUUUGCGCCGACCAUGGUUGUAACGAUUAACGGGGAAUCAGGGUUCGAUUCCGGAGAGGGAGAUGAGAAACGGCUACCACAUCAAAGGAAGGCAGCAGGCGCGCAAUUACCCACUCCCGGCGGAGGGUAACGGCGGAGGGUAACCUCCCCACACGGGGAGGUAACGACGAAAAAUAACGAUACGGAACUCAUCCGAGGCCCCGUAAUCGGAAUGAGUACACUAUAAAUCCUUUAACGAGGAUCCAUUGGAGGGCAAGUCUGGUGCCAGCAGUCGCGGUAAUUCCAGCUCCAAUAGCGUAUAUUAAAGUUGUUGCGGUUAAAAAGCUCGUAUUUGAAUCUGUGUCGCAAACCGUCGGUUUACCGCUCGUGGUGUUUAACUGGCGUGAUGUGGGACGUCCUACCGGUGGGCUUAGCCUCGCGAGAAGCGGCCCAACUAAUAUCCCGUCGCGGUGCUCUUUACUGAGUGUCGAGUCGGGACGGUACGUUUACUUGAACAAAUUAGAGUGCUUAAAGCAGGC